AUGUGGAUGUGUAUGCAUGAGAAAAAAUAUAUAGGCUACAGCAAAUGUAUUAGUCUACACAGAUGUAAAAUGAAUAGUUUCGUCUUUUUAACACAGUAUAUUGGAUUGUUGUCAUAUGCUGUCUCUUGUCAUCUUGUAUAAGGAUGAUUCUUGUCCAACUUUCGCUUUCGUUACCUUCGAAUCAAAACCAGUCGAUCAGGUUGAACUGUGCAGUACAGAGGUCGAAAGCUCACACUUUACACAGCUCUCGCUUUUCGGGACAUCCACAAUCCACCAAUUUGUCAACCAGUGCUGAUGAAGAUAUGGAGGAUGUAAGUCAGGAUUCUAAUGCUCCGGGAGCAUUCUUCCUAAGUCAGCAGGCCCUACAUUCAUCAAGCAGUGCUGAUCCUCAUUUGAUACAAGACAACAUUCAAUCUUCUAAUGCUCAGGAUUCCAGCUCUGUAAUCAGUACACAACCUACCAGCAUCAAUACACAAGACCAUCUCAAAACUGAACAUGAUGAUAAGGUAGAUAUUGAUGUACAUUUGUUCAUUUACGACAUGUAG
rnacentral:lncRNA from 1 species